UUUUUCAUCUUAUAUUACAUGUCUCACAAAUAGAGCUUGGAAGAUCUUGCGAUUGCAAAGUGGCAAAAUUUACCUAUAAUUUUAAAAUUGUUCAAGAGUACUGAUCAUGACCUCCUGAUCGUAAAAAUGUAAAACGAAGUACUGCAUACCAACUAUCUCUCCAUUUCAGUAUAAAAUUAGCGUCUCCCAGCAACAUCAAAAAUAAUGCAUGAAGUACUCAAAACAUCACAAACCGUAAUCUUGCUCUACUGAGUCUUAGUUUUGUACAAAAAAUCGAAGAUAUUUAUAUUUAUUCUAUUUUUAUUCCUCAAUAAUGACCUCCACAAUUUCUUUCUGUUGCAGCAAGCCAGAGUAGAACCAAUUGUAGAAACUCUCAUAGACGAUAUUGAAAUCGUGCCUAUUCCAAAGGAGGAAGUGACUAUGUAGAGGAAAAAAAAGAAAAGGAUGCUGCAUCUAGUGCUUCUGCCCCUGGAACUGCUGGUGCUACAGCAGCAGCUGACGCUGCUGCAGCCGAAAAGAAGAAAGCUGAAGUCAUAGACUUGACAUUUAGCGAUUCUGAAGAUGAGGACGCUUCCAAAAAAUCAACUUGGCCUGCAGCUAAUUCAACAGCUAGAAUUGGAUCAGAUUCAGGUAGCUGUGUUUCAACUCCCGGGCCAAGCUCUGUGACUAGUAGCGGCUAUCAGAGUCCCAAUGUCAUUCCAACGAUCGACAUCAUCGAUGAUAGUCCGUCACCAUCUCCAACACCAGCUUCCCCCGCAGCAUCAAUGCCUCCUCCUGAGCCCUCCGCCUGUCUUUUCAAGUAA
rnacentral:lncRNA from 1 species